rnacentral:rRNA from 1 species
UACGAAGGGGGCUAGCGUUGCUCGGAAUCACUGGGCGUAAAGCGCACGUAGGCGGAUUGCUAAGUCAGGGGUGAAAUCCGGCAGCUCAACUGUCGCAGUGCCUUUGAUACUGGAGAGCUCGAGGGAGGUAGGGGUCUGUGGAACUUCCGGUGGAGCGGUGAAAUGCGUUGAUAUCGGAAGGAACGCCGGUGGCGAAAGCGACGGACUGGAUCUCUUCUGACGCUGAGGCGCGAAAGCCAGGGGAGCAAACGGG